rnacentral:tmRNA from 1 species
GGGGGUGAACAGGUUUCGACCGGGCAAGUGAAGGGCAGGUUGCGUGUCGUGGUUGGUCAGCAGGCCACGUUAAAAGCAGACCACUAAUUCAAUUGCCGAACCUAAAUUGGCAAUGGCCGCCUAAGAAGAGGCGACCCCGGACUUCGAUUAUCGCCGAAGUGAUUUAAGUUCCGGUCGAUUUAUUCGGAUCGCUUUUGGUCACGCCGGAUACGCCAAAAGUUAAAAAAUGUUGUCGGAUCGACAGUGAAGCAUCGUGCCGUUGCGAGGCGGAUCGGUUUAAAACAUAAAACAUCGGAUACACACGUAGAUGCUUGUUCGGAUCUGUCGCGGGACGCGGGUUCAAUUCCCGCCGCCUCCAAUU